ncrna:unclassified sequences RT-14 RNA
CUCUAAUACAAUUUCUAGAUUAUAUAUUUUACGGAAUAUAUACAAUGAAAGUAUUAGUAUUAAAGAGAUUUAUCCCAUCCUAAUUUAGGUAAACAUGAAUCAGUAAAACAUAUGUUAGUACAAAAAUUGGAAUAUAUGUGUUUUAC